UCGGGGUACUCGAGCGGCGAACGGGUGAGUAACACGUGAGCAACCUGCCCUAGGCUUUGGGAUAACCCCGGGAAACCGGGGCUAAUACCGAAUAGGACCUCUGACCGCAUGGUUGGUGGUGGAAAGUUUUUCGGCCUGGGAUGGGCUCGCGGCCUAUCAGCUUGUUGGUGGGGUGAUGGCCUACCAAGGCGACGACGGGUAGCCGGCCUGAGAGGGCGACCGGCCACACUGGGACUGAGACACGGCCCAGACUCCUACGGGAGGCAGCAGUGGGGAAUAUUGCACAAUGGGCGGAAGCCUGAUGCAGCGACGCCGCGUGAGGGAUGACGGCCUUCGGGUUGUAAACCUCUUUCAGCAGGGACGAAGCGUAAGUGACGGUACCUGCAGAAGAAGCGCCGGCCAACUACGUGCCAGCAGCCGCGGUAAGACGUAGGGCGCGAGCGUUGUCCGGAUUUAUUGGGCGUAAAGAGCUCGUAGGCGGCUUGUCGCGUCGACUGUGAAAACCCGCAGCUCAACUGCGGGCCUGCAGUCGAUACGGGCAGGCUAGAGUUCGGUAGGGGAGACUGGAAUUCCUGGUGUAGCGGUGAAAUGCGCAGAUAUCAGGAGGAACACCGGUGGCGAAGGCGGGUCUCUGGGCCGAUACUGACGCUGAGGAGCGAAAGCGUGGGGAGCGAACAGGAUUAGAUACCCUGGUAGUCCACGCUGUAAACGUUGGGCGCUAGGUGUGGGGGGCCUCUCCGGUUCCCUGUGCCGCAGCUAACGCAUUAAGCGCCCCGC
rnacentral:rRNA from 1 species